UACGGUGGGGGCUAGCGUUGUUCGGAAUUACUGGGCGUAAAGCGCACGUAGGCGGCUUUGCAAGUUAGAGGUGAAAGCCCGGGGCUCAACUCCGGAAUUGCCUUUAAAACUGCAUCGCUAGAAUUGUGGAGAGGUAAGUGGAAUUCCGAGUGUAGAGGUGAAAUUCGUAGAUAUUCGGAAGAACACCAGUGGCGAAGGCGACUUACUGGACACAUAUUGACGCUGAGGUGCGAAAGCGUGGGGAGCAAACAGG
rnacentral:rRNA from 1 species